rnacentral:pre_miRNA from 1 species
CAACCUCUGCAGGCUGGCUGGUCCCCAUGCUGUGCUGGGUGAAUAUCUCUUCCAAAGGCUCACCCUUAAGCACGGCUAGGAGC